UUAACAUGUUAUUAAUUAAUUAUUUGUGUAUUUAGUUUCAGUUAUACCUAAUGAAAAUAAAGAAGACGAAGAAAGGAAUAAAAAAUUCAACAAUAUCUACUAGAAGAGGAAAAAAGGAUGAAUAUAUUGAACAACAAAAUUUUGGAGACAUUGGUUAAUAGUAAGAAGAAUGACGAUUGACAGAAUCAUAUAUAUUUAUAUAUAUAUAUAUGAUUCUAAAGUCCAUGCUUUUAAUAAUUAGGAAAUAAUGAGGUUUAAAAAGCCGAUGAUAUUGAAAUGAGUGAUAGUGAUAUGAGUCAAAAAGAAUAGAAGAAAUCAUGAAUGAAGAAGCUAAAGGAAACAUAUCUAGAAUUUUUGUUGUAUUUAAAAGAAAAUGAUCAAAUUCUAUUAGAUUUAUCUGAUUUAUCCAAUAGUAAUAAUGAAUCUGAUGGUGAAUUACAUCAUAAAUUUAAUGAUAAGUUAGAAGUAUAAAAAUAUUAUAUAUGUUUAAAAUACUAAUACAAAAAAAGAAUAUGUUUUAAUAAUAUACAUUUAUAAUUUAUUCGUUAUAAAAUCAUAGAUUGCUAGCGAUGAAAAUGAUUUUGACUCUGAAGAUACUAGUGGUAUAACAUCUCAUGAUCUGGAAUAAGAGUUACGCUAUAAUUAAUAACAGUUUGGUAGAAUAAUAUUCAAAUUGACAAAUAAUGUUUUCAUAUAUUUUUAAUUAUCAAAAUAACUAUGUAUUAUCAAUAUAUUAUAGUUUAUUUAUAAUCUUAUUUGUUUAGAACAUUCAAAAUUGCACUCGAAAUUCCUUAUGCUAUGUCGCAAACCGUAUCGGAAACGCAAGAUAAAAGUGCUACAAAAUUUAAAAAAGAAGAAAAUUAGAAAGUAUUUUUCAACAACUGUCAUGUCGCACUUUAUUGUAAGAAAGUAAAGUAAUUAAUAGAAAAAAAAAAAUAGAAGAAAAUUCAAAACAUAUAGAAAGUGAAAGAGCUAAGGAUAUAUUCGAUUUGAAAAAUAUGAUAGAAAUCGAAAAUUG